rnacentral:rRNA from 1 species
UACGAAGGGGGCUAGCGUUGCUCGGAAUCACUGGGCGUAAAGGGUGCGUAGGCGGGUCUUUAAGUCAGGGGUGAAAUCCUGGAGCUCAACUCCAGAACUGCCUUCGAUACUGGCGAUCUUGAGUCCGGAAGAGGUGAGUGGAACUCCUAGUGUAGAGGUGGAAUUCGUAGAUAUUAGGAAGAACACCAGUGGCGAAGGCGGCUCACUGGUCCGGUACUGACGCUGAGGUGCGAAAGGCGUGGGGAGCAAACAGG